CUCUUGAAAGUAAGGGUUUUAGGCAAGUAGAAGUAAGUUUAGCCCUUGUAGAAGGAAUGGAGAGGAGGUUUGAUUGGUUGGAGUUGGUGUCAAAAUGUAACUAAUUCAAGUAUUUAGGUUCUAUGAUUCAUAAGAACGGAAUAGUAAAUAAGGAUAUAUAUCAUAGGAUCAAAACAAGAUAGAUGAAAUGGAGAAGUGCAAUAGGUGUGUUGUAUGACCAUAACAUUCUAACAAAGUAAAUGUAAGUUCUAUAGAAUUAUGAUCAGACCAG
rnacentral:misc_RNA from 1 species